UUUGCCCUGGUCAGUAAUAAUAAAUAUUGGUUCCAUUAAUUUGAACUUCUGGGUGUCUGGACUAGCUUUAUGAAAUGCACCACUUCAAUGUGACUUAAUUUACAUCACAGAAGAUAUGAGCAAAAGAGAAAGGAUUCCCUUGCACACCUAGGUGGCUAUUUAGAAAGAAUACCAGGCCUGGAGCUGGGAGGACCUGGAUUCAAAUUUGACCCAGAUACUUCCUAGCUGUUUGACCCUAGUGCUGAGAGAAAGGUGACCCUGAACAUCAGAGUUCCACAAAAAAAGAAAGACCACUGAGAGGAAUAUCCGCCUUGAAUUCUCCCCCAGAUUAUGAGAUAUAUACAUCUCCCAGUUAUGCUGAUACCAUUGGGCUGUAUCCUGGUCACCCCCUGUGUCUUCAGGACACAAGACAUCACCAUAGCCUUGGUCCGAUGACAAACAUCCCCUACUCCUACCUAACCACUUUCCAUCAUCCUUUAUCUAGUCAUGUAGUCCCUGUUGUUUAAAAGGUAUAAAAAGCCCAGAACAAUCUCCUUUAGGAGGCAACGCUCCACCUACAUUGUACUCCCAGUCAUCUCAACAUGAAUUCCAAAUCAAUAAAUUUC